CUAUAAUGUGUUCGAAGAAAAACAAGCCAAUUAUUAUAUUGUCCGAAUUGGGUGAAAUAUUUAAGACACAUCACAAUGAUAAGAAUCAUACAGAUAUAGGCAUAGAUUUGAUGAGGAUGCUAUGGCAAUUCUGAAUGUUGGUGGCAACAAUCUAUAUAAAUGUAUAUUGGAUAAUGAAAGAGUUGGUUCAACAAACACACCACGCAAGGAAUCUCUCUUCCGGUAGGAUACUUCUGGCAAUUAAGGUUUCCGCAAUGCGCCUCGGUAAGCUCUAAUAUGGCACCUUGAGCUAAAAUAUUUCCGCCAUUAGGAUAGAUAUCGAGACCUUGGUCAACGCAAACGUACUCAUUUCGGGAAUAUUUUUCGUCUGCCGCCAUUAGGAAACCUUUAUAAGCAAUUUGAAAGUCAGAUGGGCACGCAAUCAUUCCCGGAAACAUCAUAUUGAUGGAAAAAUUUUCCGCCAAGCAUACGCUGCA